ensembl:snRNA U6 U6 spliceosomal RNA
UUGUAAGCCAAGUAGCAUUUCUACUAAAAUUGGAAUGAUAGAAUAUUAACAUGGUCCCUGCACAAAGAUGACUGAAAAUUUAUGAAGCUUUCCAUAUUUUU